rnacentral:rRNA from 1 species
GACAGAGGAGGCAAGCGUUGUCCGGACUGACUGGGCGUAAAGCGCGCGCAGGCGGAGGCGGGCGUCGGUGCUGAAAGUCCACCGCUUAACGGUGGAUGGCGUGCCGAUACGCCGUCUCUGGAGGACGGGCGAGGGUGGUGGAAUUGCCGGUGUAGCAGUGAAAUGCGUAGAGAUCGUAAGGAAGACCAGUGGCGAAGGCGGGUCUCUGGACAGUUCCUGACACUGAGGCACGAAGGCCAGGGGAGCAAACGGG